rnacentral:rRNA from 1 species
UACAGAGGAGCCAAGCGUUGUCCGGAUUGACUGGGCGUAAAAGCGCACGCAGGCGGACGCGCGCGUGGGGUGUGAAAUCUGGCCGCUUAACGGCCAGGCGCCAUCCCAUACGGCGCGUCUGGAGCAAUGCAGAGGUCGGUGGAAUUGCCGGUGUAGUGGUGAAAUGCGUAGAGAUCGGCAGGAACACCCAGGGGGGAAACCAGCCGACUGGGCAUUUGCGUGACGCUGAGGUGCGAGAGCGUGGGGAGCGAACCGG